AGUGGGAUAGCUGGGUCAAAUGGUGGUUCCAUUCCAAGUUUUCUAAGGAAUCUCCAUAUUGUUUUCCAGAGUGGCACACCAAUUUGCAGUUCCACCAGCAAU
rnacentral:pre_miRNA from 1 species